AUUGAACGCUGGCGGCAUGCCUAACACAUGCAAGUCGAACGAGACCUUCGGGUCUAGUGGCGCACGGGUGCGUAACGCGUGGGAACCUGCCUUUAGGUUCGGAAUAACUCAGAGAAAUUUGAGCUAAUACCGGAUGAUGUCUUCGGACCAAAGAUUUAUCGCCUUUAGAUGGGCCCGCGUUGGAUUAGCUAGUUGGUGGGGUAAAGGCCUACCAAGGCGACGAUCCAUAGCUGGUCUGAGAGGAUGAUCAGCCACACUGGGACUGAGACACGGCCCAGACUCCUACGGGAGGCAGCAGGGGGGAAUAUUGGACAAUGGGCGAAAGCCUGAUCCAGCAAUGCCGCGUGAGUGAUGAAGGCCUUAGGGUUGUAAAGCUCUUUUACCCGAGAUGAUAAUGACAGUAUCGGGAGAAUAAGCUCCGGCUAACUCCGUGCCAGCAGCCGCCGUAAGAC
rnacentral:rRNA from 1 species